rnacentral:tRNA from 2 species
GGGCCUGUAGCACAACGGUUAGUGCAGGGGACUCAUAAUCCCUUGGUUCCAGGUUCGAAUCCUGGCGGGCCCACCA